rnacentral:lncRNA from 1 species
AUAUGCAAGCUCACUUAAGACAUUCAAGGAGGUCUGGAUCCUUUCCUCACUGCCCAGGCCCGGGCCCACCCCACCUUUAACCGUCAGGGUUCCCCACUACCUGGGAAGCCCCACACCCUCCAAAGAUGCGCUAGGUGCGCCAGACGCAUGCUCCUCUGCUCCGCUGGCUCCGAAGAACCAGAUCUGAGGCCAAGAUAAAACCCGAUUCCUGAUGUCCGACCCCCUAACAUUAGAAGUCGAGAGAUGAAGGGAAAACUCGGAAAUCAGAGCCAUGGAUUCAAACCAGCACUGGAAAAUGCCCCGGGACAGUUCGUGCUGAGCGCCUUAGCCACAGGAAACAUUUUCCUGGGCAUCUAAAAGUAUUGUGGACCUGAGACACUGUGCUUACAGGGCCUACUGGUUUUCACUGUAUGAGACCGAGAAUGGAUUAUGGCAGUUCCUCUUACCUCCGCUGCAUACUUGACUCCAUCCACGGUGUGCUCAGAGCCAUGAUCAUCCGAAGAGCCCCAGUGAAGAUGAAACUGGCGAAGUCGGUAGGGUCCAGGGAGAGGACCCCCUCUCAGCACUGUGAUUCAGAUAAGCUUGGUCAACAGUGAAUUCAUGCUUCUUUUACAGAGCUCUACUUUAACCAAGUGCUCUUAGAGCCAAGGCUUAAUGGACAAAAUGUGGUCAGUUUGCUGGGUGGAUGGUGCCACUCCCAGGACACUGGACUCCUCACAAAAUGAAGUCUGGGGAUAUGUCAAGAUAAAUGAUUGUUCUUUUCUGUCUUUCUUAUUUUGUUUGCUUGUUUCAUUAUUAUUGAAACAUCAUUUUAACAUUUAGGAAAGCAAAAUUAAAACAACAGAUAGACAAUGAGGAUGCAUACACCCAAAGAACAAGUCAGUAGUGUGGUGCAGUGGGAAGAACUGGACAGUUGAGAACCAGGUGGAGGUAGGUUUCCAAUGCUGGCUUCACCCCUUGCUAGUUCUGUGGUCUCAGGCAAGUUGCUAAACUUCUCUGAACCCACUUUCACAUCUCUAAGAAGGUGAUAAUAAUACCAAACUUUCAGAGCUGCUGUGAAGAUUAACUGAGAUUAAGCACCUUAAAGUGCUCAUCAUAGUGCCUGCAUGAUGAUCACUGAGCAGAUGUGAAUUCCUUCUCCACGUGUUGCUUCCAACUACACUUUUCUUCAAGACAACGAGCAAAAACUUUCAUCUACGUCUAAUUUAGACUGUGUCUAUUCAAAUGAGAUGAAAUGGAAAAUUCAGAAAUUUCCCAGAAAACCAAUCAAUGUGGAUGAUUAAACUAGAUAAUUCUCAGCAGCAUUAAUUUGGGCUUGUUGAUAAACAUCUCAACCCAUUGCAGAGUGAUUUAGAGGUUCAAAUGUCUUCCAAAGUAUAUUGGAAACUAUGCAGAAACCCUAAGAUCAAGAUUUGGCAAUAUAAGCUAGAUCAAAAUAGAAUUCAGAGCAUAGCUAUUUUAGAAGAGGUUGCCCACACUAAGUGGCCCAGGGAAAGCCAUAAAUAUAGACCUCAAACAAUGAGGCUAGGCCUAUAUGAGUUUGUUCAGGUAGAAAUGGAGUGGUUCAAUUCAUUGCAUUUUUCCUGUCCAACCACUCAGAACAGUUAUUAUAGGGACAUGUGAGUCCAAUUUAUUAGAAGAAACUAUAUGAAAUUGACAAUAUUCAACUAUUUUUGCACACAAAAAUGGCAUUUUCAUAUGGUUCAACCUAAUAGAUAUGUUUAAUUUUGUUAUGUUGCUUUCAAAAUGGUACUUGAUAUAUAAGGAGAAGGGGAAAAAAGGAAACAAUAGCAAUACGAAACCACUGUUUAAGAAAAUUUAAAUUUCUGUAACUUGGAACCUCCUGGUAGGUAGGAAUUAUGAAUAUCAUUCUUCAUUACAAAAUCAUUAAGAAUGUUCAUUUAUGUAUAUCAAUAAAUAUAACUUUAUUAGAGAUGGGGCUAUAAGGAAUUAUUUUGCUGUAUAUCAAGCACCAAAAUAUUAAAGGAAGAUUCUUUCUUACCUCAUUUAUCGUGAAAUAAAGUAUUUCUGACUAGUCUUCU